AAUUAACGUCGUAGGCCCUUUUGUUUGGAAUUGGAAACUCUGAGCAUAGAUUGAUCAUACAUGAUGAGUAUUUACUCAAGGAAUUACAUUUCAUGCCCAGAUAUGUUGGGCCCAAUGCGUCUUUGCUCCAACCAUCACAAACUGACAAACGGAUGGUGACCGUGAUACUGAUAGUAACAGCUGAGUAAGGCUACAUGUACCCCCAUCAUCACUGAAAGGCAACCGGGAUGCAGUCUUUAAAUCUGGAGUUCUGGGCAGAACUGUGCAUUUCUGGAACAAUGAUGAGUUUAAAAUUUGUCAUGAAUUUCUACAGUGGCUACAUGUACCCUGACCAUCUUUGAAAGGCAACCGGGAUACAGUGCAGUCUUUAUCUGGAAUUCUUGGCAGAACUGGACAUUCCUGGAACAAUGAUCAAUUCAAGUGAAACAGACUCGGGUGCAAGCAGAAAUUCUUGUAAUUACAGAAUGUAUUCCUUAAGAGAGGCAACAUGUGACCUGAAAACAAUUCUAUUCAGAUCUAUUUAAGGAAUGAAUUCAGUAUCUAAUUCAUCCAAGUAUAUACUGGGUUUGGGCAGUUUGCGCUUUUUUAAACUGCUAAGUGGUUUAUGAAAAAGCACAUUUUUGAACUUGCAAAAGAAAUCAGACCAACUGCUGAUAUACGUGGUUUUCAGUGAGUUAAUCAACGAUUAUCUAUGAAAAGUUAGCUACACUGAACAGUUUCUUUUUUACAUGAGUAUAUAUACCUGAAACCCAUUGCACAUCAUAAGAAUUUUAUUUUAUUUUGGACAGUGCUCUUGUUGUAAAGUAUUAUGUGUAAUGCAUGUGAGUUGUGGACGGGGGUUUGUAGUCAUCUGAGAACAAGGAUUGGCACGUUGGGUGGACUUAGAGAAAUCUUCAUAUGCUAAACCCAGUUUUAGAAGAAACGAAGAAAGCAAACACUAGAUCAGUUCCAACUAAUAGAGUUGUCAAUCAGGAUAAGCAAUAAAACAUGCAGGCAACAACUUUAAGGGGAAAUACUCGCUAAAUGCGAGUUUAAAAUUGAAAUUGCGAGUAAAAAAUCACAAGUGAUCACAACUUUAUGCGAGUGAAAAAAACCACGAUCUUUUUUCUGGAUUUUCGCGGUUUAUUGGCUGUACUUUGAAGUUUACAAUAAUUUUGUCUUUUGCAUAGAAACGCUUUACAGAAUGAAUAUACAAGUAUUGAAAAAGUAAACGUGGAUCGAAUAAAUAACUAAGGCCAAGGUCAUCUCAGUCAGUUCUACUUCAAGCACACUUCGGGCAUCUCAGUGACGUCUGAUUUAAAUAGCAAGCAUGUUGAUUUCGUCCAUGUCUUCAUGAAACAACACAUGACUGAGUUAGUGUCAUCGUUUCACUCUAUAGCCCAAAACUUCGAGUUCGCGGGGGGUUUUUUCCACUAGAAUUUUUUAGAUGAAAUUUCCAAAAGUUUUGAACAUAUUGUUUAAAUUGGCGCAAACAGUCUCCAAGAUUUCAAACCACAUGAUGUUGUAAAUAGGUAGUAGAUCUCUGGACAGCGAGUACACCGCACAAGUGUACCCUAUGACCCUCACCAUGCACCAUGCUUGUUGCCUGAUAAUUCAUUAAAUUUUAAAUGAAAGAAUUCUCAAUCUUAUUUUCAUUAUUGCACUUUAAAGAAGAUAUUAAAAGAUUUCCCCUAUAUUUUGAUAUAGAGACAUGUUUGUUUUCUUAAAUUCCUGUAAAACAGCAAUCGAUUGAAAAAUGCUAGUAAAAGCUUAAUUUUGCUAGUUGGAAAAUAAUCCACUAGUUAAAAUUUGCUAGUA